GAACUUAAGCAUAUCAAUAAGCGGAGGAAAAGAAACUAACAAGGAUUCCCCUAGUAACUGCGAGUGAAGCGGGAAAAGCUCAAAUUUGAAAUCUGAUAGUUUUUGACUGUCCGAAUUGUAAUCUAGAGAAGUGUUACCUGUGCUGGACCGUGUACAAGUCUCCUGGAAUGGAGCAUCAUAGAGGGUGAGAAUCCCGUCUUUGACAUGGACUACCAGUGCAUUAUGGUGCGCUCUCAAAGAGUCGAGUUGUUUGGGAAUGCAGCUCAAAAUGGGUGGUAAAUGCCAUCUAAAGCUAAAUAUUGGCGAGAGACCGAUAGCGAACAAGUACCGUGAGGGAAAGAUGAAAAGAACUUUGGAAAGAGAGUUAAACAGUACGUGAAAUUGCUGAAAGGGAAACGCUUGAAGUCAGUCACGUUGGCUAGAAAUCAGCCUUGCUUUUGCUUGGUGUACUUUCUGGUUGAUGGGUCAGCAUCAAUUUUGAUCAUUGGAUAAAGUCAUUGGGAAUGUGGCAUCUUUAGAUGUGUUAUAGCCCAUUGUCGCAUACAGUGGUUGGGAUUGAGGAAUUCAGCACGCCGCAAGGCCGGGUUUUGACCACGUUCGUGCUUAGGAUGCUGGCAUAAUGGCUUUAAUCGACCCGUCUUGAAACACGGACCAAGGAGUCUAACAUGCCUGCAAGUGUUUGGGUGGAAAACCCAUACGCGUAAUGAAAGUAAAAGUUGAGAUCCCUUUCAAGGAGCAUUGACGCCCGGACCAGACCUUUUGUGACGGAUCCGCGGUAGAGCAUGUAUGUUGGGACCCGAAA
rnacentral:rRNA from 1 species